rnacentral:rRNA from 1 species
GGUGAACGCUGGCGGCGUGCCUAAUACAUGCAAGUCGAGCGAACAGACGAGGAGCUUGCUCCUCUGCCGUUAGCGGCGGACGGGUGAGUAACACGUGGAUAACCUACCUCUAAUACUGGGAUAACUUCGGGAAACCGGAGCUAAUACCGGCUCAUAUAUUGAACCGCAUGGUUCAAUAGUGAAAGACGGUUUUGCCGUCACUUAUAGAUGGAUCCGCGCCGCAUUAGCUAGUUGGUAAGGUAACGGCUUACCAAGGCGACGAUGCGUAGCCGACCUGAGAGGGUGAUCGGCCACACUGGAACUGAGACACGGUCCAGACUCCUACGGGAGGCAGCAGUGGGGAAUCUUCCGCAAUGGGCGAAAGCCUGACGGAGCAACGCCGCGUGAGUGAUGAAGGUCUUCGGAUCGUAAAACUCUGUUAUUAGGGAAGAACAAAUGUGGAAGAAACUAUGCACGUCUUGACGGUACCUAAUCAGAAAGCCACGGCUAACUACGUG